CGGAUCGCAGGCUGCAACUCGCCUGCGUGAAGUUGGAAUUGCUAGUAAUCGCGGAUCAGCAUGCCGCGGUGAAUACGUUCCCGGGCCUUGUACACACCGCCCGUCACACCAUGGGAGUUUGUAACACCCGAAGUCAGUAUCCUAACCGCAAGGGGGGAGCUGCCGAAGGUGGGAUAAGCGACUGGGGUGAAGUCGUAACAAGGUAUC
rnacentral:rRNA from 1 species